rnacentral:tRNA from 1 species
GUCUUCGUGGUGUAGUGGUCAGCAUGCUAGGCGCUUAUUCCAGAGGUCCGUGGUUAGAAUCCCGUCGAAGGCG